CCAGCCAGCAUUUUUAUUCAACCUCGAGUGUAUAUAAUAUUGAAGAGCUACUGAUAGUACUGCCAUAAAUGGAGUACCAGGAGUAAUAACAUUUGAAUCAGAUGUCUCGGGCUUUUCUGUAGGCACUAAACUAGCAGCUUCCAUCUCAAACUCUUCUCUUAACCUUGUUUCUUCAGCUUCCUGUCAUAAAAGUUUGAAUGAGAUGCAUACAUUUACAAUGUUAAACCACAUAGGUAAAGGAAAAUUAUACAGAUUCAGCAGCAUCUUUAGCAGCUCUGAAACGCCUGGUUCUCUGCUGAUUCAUC
rnacentral:lncRNA from 1 species